UGAACUCUAGUUCCACCACUUAGGUUCAAUUUAAAAGGUUGACAACAAUUGAUGGACAGUUUCAUUAGAAACCAUUAAUUAGAAUGACCCUUGCACGUGAAAUGGCAAUAUUAAGUUGACAUUUAUGUGACAAGAGACCCAAGGAUUGCUGACCUGAGGUACAGAAAACUGGUUCAAGAUAGGGAUGUUCAUAUAUGAUAUGGGCAAGGGGAGUAGGGCUUUGUAGAGAGAGCUUUAGUUUGUAUUUGACGUGCUCUAACUUUUCUGUCGGUAUCAGCUGUUGAUAAAUUAAAAGCAAACAUUGCGACCACUGGAAAUUUGAAAUGAGAAAAAGCAAGAAACAUCAUCAUGAUCAAGACUCUGCUUUAGGACACUGAGCGUGUAGAGGAAAGAUGGGCAGUGUAAAGAGAUGAGAGGAUGCGGUAAGAGGGGCUGGUAGAUGAUAGCUGGAACCAGGUACGGUGGGUGAUGAUAGGUGGAUGAUGUUAGGUGGGGAAGAAGAAUAGGGAAGUUUGGAGAUAGAAAUUGGUGGGUGAUGGGUGGAAACACUUGAGGGG